rnacentral:lncRNA from 10 species
GCAGGAGUAAGGUGGUAUUGCAUUGUGGUUUUGAUUUGCAUUUCCCUGAUCAUUCAUGAUGUUGAGCAUUUUUACAUAUGUUUGUUGGCCAUUUGUGUAUCUUCUUUUGAGAAUUUUCUAUUGAUGUCCUUAGCCCUUGGUUUUGGGUACUUGGUCAUGAAAUCCUUGCCUAAGCCAAUGUCUAGAAGGGUUUUUCCAAUGUUAUCUUCUAUAAUGUUUAUAGUUUCAGGUCUUAAGUUUAAGUCCUUAGCAAAACGCACCGGAUUCGCGCCCUCCCCGGAGUUCUGGCCAGGAGGCUCUGGCUGGAUUCCAGUUGUUACAGAGCUCGCUGGAGACUUCCUUCUCCCUGUGGCAUUUUCCCCGCUCCUCUGGCCGCCGAAGGAGUCCUGUGGUGCCGGGCAGGAAUGGGCUGCUUGGGGACCCAACGAGCUCCCAGAGCCUUUCCUGCUGCUUCCUCUACCCCUGUGUUUCGCUAGGCUCUCGAGAUGGACUCAGUUCCAGAUUGCCCAGCCUCACAUAUUCCUUCAUAGCAACACAAAGGGACUGAGACAAUAUAUAAGUUAACAUCUGCCAUGUAGUGGAGGUUCCAGAGAAAAAGUGAGAGAAGCUGAGUCUGCACCCUCAACAUGGAGGAAAUAAGCUCUCUUAGGACCAAGAACAGAGGACAGAGGAAGGACUCCAGCAUGAUGGGCACCAAGGGAUUUUGGUCCUUCUGAGAAAGAGGAGCAGUUCCAACAAUGUGUCUUUGCCUUCUGGCCCCAGAAUAUCAUCUGGGAAUGCGUGUUGCAUCAAGUUGCGUCUCUCCAGUUGCCUCCAAUUUGGAAUACAGGGUCUUCCUCUUUGCCUAAGCUGGAGCGCAUUGGUGUGAUCAUCGCUCACUGCUGCCUCAAACUCCUGGGCUCAUGCGACCCUCCCACCUCAGCCUCCUGACUAGUUGGGACUACAGAAUUGGUUCCUUCCAGUGAGUUCUUGGUCUCGCUGACUUCAAGAAUGAAGCCACAGACCUGUGCGAUGAGUGUUACAGCUCUUAAAGAUGGUGUGUCCAGAGUUUGUUCCUUCAGAUGUUCAGAUGUGUCCGGAGUUUCUUCCUUCUGGUGGGUUUGUCCUCUCGCUAACUUCCAAGAAUGAAGCCGUGGACGUUCACAGUGAGUAUUAGACCUCCUCAGGUUAGUGUGGACCCAAAGAGUGAGCGGCAGCAAGAUUUAUUAAGAGCAAAAGAACAAAGCUUCCA